GUUUGUAUGUGUAAGAAUGCAGAAGUGAAACAUAACCUGUAAACUGCUGUCAAUCUAUGCAUCUAUUUGCAAAUCUGAUUCUGAUGACGUCAGUGCCUCACCAGCUAUGAACCUCACCGCACGUCACUGCUAAGUUGAUUUGUAAACU